GAUGAAGAACGUAGCGAAAUGCGAUAAGUAAUGUGAAUUGCAGAAUUCAGUGAAUCAUCGAAUCUUUGAACGCACAUUGCGCCCGCCAGUAUUCUGGCGGGCAUGCCUGUUCGAGCGUCAUUACAACCCUCAGGCCCCCGGGCCUGGCGUUGGGGAUCGGCGGAAGCCCCCUGCGGGCACAACGCCGUCCCCCAAAUACAGUGGCGGUCCCGCCGCAGCUUCCAUUGCGUAGUAGCUAACACCUCGCAACUGGAGAGCGGCGCGGCCACGCCGUAAAACACCCAACUUCUGAAUGUUGACCUCGAAUCAGGUAGGAAUACCCGCUGAACCUAAGCAUAUCAAUAAGCGGAGGA
rnacentral:misc_RNA from 1 species